CAGCCCGCUCCACUCCGGUCCAAAGAACCAGCGUGCCUGCCUCGUUUUGAAUUUGUCCCUGCUCGUCCAAACCGUCCAAAACCCCGAACCAAGCCAAGCCAAGCCAAGCCGGGGGCUCCCCCGGCGCGAGGUCUCCUCCUCGAGCAGUGAGAUCUCCUCUCCCCCGCUGCAGCCCAUCGGAUCGAGCCCCACCCACCACCCACGACCGCGACUCUUUCUCCGCCACGCUCGAAAAAAAUAAAUCAACGAGAGCCCCCCCUCCCUUGCCUGCACGGCGCCUAUUCGCUCGGUCGGUCAGCUCGUCGCGUGGACUCGAAGCCUCAGCAGGCAUCCUUCCCUUUCCUUCGCUCCGCUUCCUGCCUGGCCCCUCCUCUCCAACCUCCCAACUCCAAGCUCCAAAGCCCGCUCGCUGAAGCCGAGCCCCCCCUAUCCCCUCGUCGCUCUCUCUCGCGCCACCCUGCGCUCGGUUGCUGCGGUGCGCGUAGCUACCUCCGCCAUCCGCCUCGCUCGCUCGCUCGCUCCAGCGGCGGCAGAGGCCAGACGGGCGGCCCGAGCCGGCGCGGCUGCUGCGGCCUGCCGAGCGGCCCUUGCAUUGCGGCUACGCCUCGUGGAUUUCCGGUCGCAUUGUGAGACGGGAGGGGAGCGCCCCGGGCGGUGCUGGCAGCGGAGGAGGCGCUUCUGAAUCGCGCGGCGCGGACGCGCUGAUUUGCUGCGGGGCGCCGCGCCUGAUCUCGCGCCCCAGAUUCGCCGCCGUUCCCGUGAUCUGGGCAUUGCUCUGCUGGACAGUAUCCGGCGGACACAGUUUCGCUGAUACACUUCUGUGUGCUGAUGCGGUUAUAAUGAAGCUUUCAUCAUACCUCUGGGACGUUUGUGUGACCUUCAAGGCGUUGAUGAGCACUGAACAACGGUGGCAGUUCAGCAGGAAUUGACUCGACUGGCUGACUUGGAUGGGUUAGUUCUGAAUUGAGAUUCUAUGGAUGCGUGAUAAUUUAGGCUGAAAAGUACAGUGAAUGUGACCCUCAUACCAACUUGUCAUAUCAGUUUUGAGUAAUGAAGAAAUGGCACGGUGGUUCUGUCAUACUAUGUUUGUUCCUAAUCUUGAUGUUAAGAUACGUGAUAUUGGAUAGCCCGCUUGCUGAAAGAUCUCUUCAGUAUGUCUUCCAACAAAAUAGCACGGCGCAGCUACACUGGUUAGAUGUUCCAAACCCACCUGCACUUCAGAAUCCACAGAACUUCUCUCAAGUGAUAUCAACUGAAUUGUUAGCUUCCAACCUUUCCAUAACAAGAAAUCUCUCUGAUAGAGAAAUACAGACGUUGCAUUCUUGGAAUCAUCUGAGGGACCUUGUAAAUAAUGCCCAUAUCCUACCAGAUGGAUUGGAUGCAAUCAAGGAAGCUGGAGUUGCAUGGAGGAAGCUAAAUGCAGCCCUUGAAUAUGAUGACUCAGUUGUUUCAUUCAAUGGUAGCACACAUCAUAAGGACAAAGAGAAGCAAUGCCCAUAUUCCAUUCGAAGAAUGAAUGUUACAAGGGUAGCUGAUAGAUUUGUCUUAAGAAUUCCUUGUGGGCUUAUUCAGGGCUCUUCGAUAACUAUUAUUGGUACUCCUGGUGGUCUUCUGGGUAAUUUUAAGAUAGACUUAACUGGAGCUGCAGUCCCUGGUGAACCAGACCCUCCAAUUGUGCUUCAUUACAAUGUCCGUCUUCUUGGUGAUAAACUUACAGAAGAUCCUGUGAUUGUCCAAAAUACAUGGACUAUAGCUGAUGAUUGGGGUUCUGAAGACCGUUGCCCAUCUUCUGAUUCGGAUGCUAAGGACAGUGCAAAAGUGGACGAUUUGGAAAAAUGUAGCAGCAUGGUGGGCAAAGCCCACAAACAGAUCUUGGUCUCAAAGUCACAUUCUAAUUUUUCAAGCAUGCAACCUACAAGGAAAAAGACUGCAGAACCUAAAAAAUAUUAUCCCUUCAAACAAGGAAAUCUUGCUAUAGCAAUUCUUCGUGUUGGAGCAGAGGGGAUCCAUAUGACUGUAGAUGGGAAACAUGUCACUUCCUUUGCAUUUCGAGAGGAUUUGGAGCCUGGGUUUGUUGGUGAAGUAAGGAUUGAAGGAGAUAUUAAAUUGCUGUCUGUGCUAGCAAGUGGCUUGCCUACAACAGAGGACUUUGAGCAUGUCACUGACUUGGAAAUAUUGAAGGCUCCACCUGUCCCUAAGGAUAAAUCCAUUGAUCUUUUUAUUGGGAUAUUCUCUACAGCAAAUAAUUUUAAACGCAGAAUGGCGGUUCGAAGAACCUGGAUGCAGUACGAUGCUGUCCGCUCAGGAAAAGUCGCUGUUCGGUUCUUUGUUGGCCUGCAUAAAAAUGAUGUGGUGAACAAGGAGCUCUGGAACGAAGCACGGACAUAUGGAGACAUCCAAUUGAUGCCAUUUGUUGAUUAUUACAGCUUGAUUCUUUGGAAGACCAUUGCCAUUUGCAUAUAUGGAACAAAUGUACUUUCAGCCAAGUAUGUUAUGAAAACCGACGAUGACGCUUUCGUUCGUGUAGAUGAGAUACUUUCGUCCCUACAUCAAGUAAAUAUCAGCCAUGGACUGCUGUAUGGUCGCGUCAAUUCUGAUUCUCAGCCUCACCGAGAUCCGUAUAGCAAGUGGUACAUAACUUCAGAGGAAUGGCCUGAAGAGAGUUAUCCCCCAUGGGCACAUGGACCAGGGUACAUUGUAUCUCAGGAUAUAGCAAAAGAAGUUUACAGGAAACACAAAAGAGGGGAGCUAAAGAUGUUCAAGCUGGAGGAUGUGGCGAUGGGAAUAUGGAUCAAUGAGAUGGAGAAGGAAGGCUUUGAUGUCACAUACCAGAACGACGGAAGGAUCUUGGUGGAAGGCUGUGAGGAUGGGUAUGUGGUUGCCCACUACCAGGAGCCAAGGCAGAUGAUGUGCCUCUGGGACAAAUUCCAGAAAACAAAGCGAGGAAACUGUUGCAACGAGUAAGGGCGAACGAUCUUCUAUGUUCUGAUGGCUAGUGCUUGCUGGCAUCUAACGGCAAGCUUGAGAACAUCCAUCAUGAAAGAGGAGCCAGGGAGCUUCUCGCUGAUGGUUUCUGAUCACAAUUGACAGGCCACAUUUUUUUUCUGACAUCGGCCAUUCUUUUGUGUCCGUGUUCUGGAGUACUUCCCUGGCUUACAACCAUAUAUUUUUGUAGGAGAUGUAGUAGGUCCCUUCGGUUUUGGCCAUAGGUAGGGAGGUGUGAGCUGCUUGUAACAUAUCAUACGAGUACGUAGGGGUCACAUUUUUAGGAUAGUUGGGACUUGGGAGGGCCAGCUUUAGCAAGAAAAAUCAGUGAAUGCUUUUUGCAUCCGUGUAAAGCUAUUCGAGAACCACCUGUAUAAUUGAUAGUCCGCUUGUGUCUGGUAUUGGAGCAACUCUAGGGGAAGUGUAUGGAUGAACCCGGAUAUAUAUGAACUCAUUUUGG
rnacentral:rRNA from 1 species